UCCUUGGUGGCUUACAUAGUAAAGCACCUGCCUGCAAUGCAGGAGACCUGGGUUCAAUCCCUGGGUUGGGAA
rfam:TPA: Bos taurus chromosome 3, whole genome shotgun sequence.